rnacentral:piRNA from 1 species
UGGCAGGGCAUGUUUCUGUUUUGGUGUC